rnacentral:rRNA from 1 species
GACGAACGCUGGCGGCGUGCCUAAUACAUGCAAGUAGAACGCUGAAGGAGGAGCUUACUCUUCUGGAUGAGUUGCGAACGGGUGAGUAACGCGUAGGUAACCUGCCUGGUAGCGGGGGAUAACUAUUGGAAACGAUAGCUAAUACCGCAUAACAUUGACUAUUGCAUGAUAGUCAAUUGAAAGGUGCAAAUGCACCACUACCAGAUGGACCUGCGUUGUAUUAGCUAGUUGGUGGGGUAACGGCUCACCAAGGCGACGAUACAUAGCCGACCUGAGAGGGUGAUCGGCCACACUGGGACUGAGACACGGCCCAGACUCCUACGGGAGGCAGCAGUAGGGAAUCUUCGGCAAUGGACGGAAGUCUGACCGAGCAACGCCGCGUGAGUGAAGAAGGUUUUCGGAUCGUAAAGCUCUGUUGUAAGAGAAGAACGAGUGUGAGAGUGGAAAGUUCACACUGUGACGGUAUCUACCA